UACAGAGGUCCCAAGCGUUGUUCGGAUUCACUGGGCGUAAAGGGUGCGUAGGUGGCUACUUUAAGUUUGAUGUGAAAGCUCCGGGCUCAACCCGGAAAUGGCAUUGAAGACUAUUGAGCUAGAGGUUUGGAGGGGGACUGGAAUGCUUGGUGUAGCAGUGAAAUGCGUAGAUAUCAAGCGGAACACCGGUGGCGAAGGCGAGUCCCUGGACAACACCUGACACUGAGGCACGAAAGCUAGGGGAGCAAACAGG
rnacentral:rRNA from 1 species